rnacentral:rRNA from 1 species
AGAACGAACGCUGGCGGCAGGCUUAACACAUGCAAGUCGAACGCGUGUAGCAAUACACGAGUGGCGCACGGGUGAGUAACGCGUGGAUAUCUGCCUUUUGGUUCGGAAUAACCCCGGGAAACUGGGGCUAAUACCGGAUGGUUCCUACGGGAUAAAGAUUUAUCGCCAAAAGAUGAGUCCGCGUACGAUUAGCUAGUUGGUGAGGUAAUGGCUCACCAAGGCGACGAUCGUUAGCUGGUCUGAGAGGACGAUCAGCCACACUGGGACUGAGACACGGCCCAGACUCCUACGGGAGGCAGCAGUGGGGAAUAUUGGACAAUGGGGGCAACCCUGAUCCAGCCAUGCCGCGUGAGUGAUGAAGGCCUUCGGGUUGUAAAGCUCGUUUUGGCGGGGACGAUGAUGACGGUACCCGCAGAAUAAGCCCCGGCUAACUUCGCGCCAGCACGCCGC